rnacentral:sRNA from 1 species
UCAGUGUUACAGUACGAGAAGCACCUUGC